AAAAUGUGUAAACAAAAUCAAAAGAUUUAAUAUAUAUUUACAAAUUUAUAAAUACUCCCAUUUAUAAUAGUAGGCAAAAAUAUUAAAUACUAAGGAAAGAAGUGAAUGAGAACAGUGCAGAAAUUUUAUAAGAAAAGUUUAAACAUCCCCUAAGGGUCAUAAAUUUACUUGAGUAAAUGGAGAGUCAUGUCACCCUCCACAUGUGAAUGCUCAAUUGCAUAAUUUUGUCAAUACUCCCUAAAUUUAUCUGUGAAUUAAAUUCAAUGCCAAUAAAGUUACGCUGGCCAAUAAACUAACUUAAAAUGAACAGGGAAAGCUCAAAAAUUAUUAAACCAUAUAUAAUUCUAGAAAGGGCUAUAUAUUUUUAAAUCUAUAAAGAUAUCUUACACAAAGGAAAGUACAUGUCAAUAGAAUAAGUGGGCUAGGAACAUACAAAAAAUGAAAUUAACAAAAUAAUUUACAAACAUUUGAUCAAGAGAUGGUACAAGUUUUAUUUUGAAAGACCUUUUCUUAAAAUUUUGAAGAGUAGUGAUCAUUGUGCUUCCGGAGUUCGAAGGACUACAUUAAUAAUUAGUAGCUGACAAUUAACAUUUGCCAGAUUACUUUUGCAAUCAAUAAUGUCUGUUGUUGAUUCUUGGUUUUCUAUGUGAACAGAUAAUUUGCAAAAAGAGCUUUAAUACCUCUUGCAGUGGAACCAAAGGUGAAUCUAUGUGUGUGGCACGUGGAAAGCUUGGCCAAAUGGUUCCACUCUACAUUCUUUGAAGGUAGUGGCGAGAGAGGCAGCUACAGAUGCAAGAGCAACAGAAAACUUUCCAGAUGUUCCAGAGAGAAAAGGAGAACAAGAGCAUGAGAGUGUGAGAGCAAGACCAAGAGUGCUAGAGAGAGAGAGAGAGAGAGAGAAAUGGAGAGAGAGAGAGAUGAGAGAGAGAAAUGGGGCAGGAGGAGGGGUGAGAGGAAGGUUGUGCAGCUUUGGGAAAUUUUCUAACAUCUUGUCCUCAAACUAGUUAUGAAGACAACCGUUACCAAAAACUUGAAGUACUGAACAGUAAUGCAGAACACUGUAUAGGAAAAAGCUCCAAACUCAGGACUCAGGAUAACUUGUGGAUCUAGUCUUAAUCUUGCUGGUUGCCAUUUUUGUGAUCUUAAGCAAGUCACUCAAAUUCCC
rnacentral:lncRNA from 1 species